rnacentral:rRNA from 1 species
GCCGACAGGCGUAGGCGAUGGAUAACAGGUUGAUAUUCCUGUACCACCUAUAAUCGUUUUAAUCGAUGGGGGGACGCAGUAGGAUAGGCGAAGCGUGCGAUUGGAUUGCACGUCUAAGCAGUAAGGCUGAGUAUUAGGCAAAUCCGGUACUCGUUAAGGCUGAGCUGUGAUGGGGAGAAGACAUUGUGUCUUCGAGUCGUUGAUUUCACACUGCCGAGAAAAGCCUCUAGAUAGAAAAUAGGUGCCCGUACCGCAAACCGACACAGGUAGUCAAGAUGAGAAUUCUAAGGUGAGCGAGCGAACUCUCGUUAAGGAACUCGGCAAAAUGACCCCGUAACUUCGGGAGAAGGGGUGCUCUUUAGGGUUAACGCCCAGAAGAGCCGCAGUGAAUAGGCCCAAGCGACUGUUUAUCAAAAACACAGGUCUCUGCUAAACCGUAAGGUGAUGUAUAGGGGCUGACGCCUGCCCGGUGCUGGAAGGUUAAGAGGAGUGGUUAGCUUCUGCGAAGCUACGAAUCGAAGCCCCAGUAAACGGCGGCCGUAACUAUAACGGUCCUAAGGUAGCGAAAUUCCUUGUCGGGUAAGUUCCGACCCGCACGAAAGGCGUAACGAUUUGGGCACUGUCUCAACGAGAGACUCGGUGAAAUCAUAGUACCUGUGAAGAUGCAGGUUACCCGCGACAGGACGG